rfam:Lepisosteus oculatus unplaced genomic scaffold TNK6, whole genome shotgun sequence.
GCCAGCAGCUCUGUCACCCUGCAGAUCAGAGCUGGCAGCCCCACUGGAGCUCAGCAGGUGUGAGCCUGGUCAGUACCUGGAUGGGAGACUCCUGGGAAAGCUCAGGUUGCUGCUGGAA